CUUCUCCUCCUCCUCCUCGUCUUCUCUCUUGUUUUCUUCUUCACGUCUCCUCUCAGCUCUGAUGAGACAUGGGAUGUGGAAAUUCCUCACAGACGGCAAAAAACAACAACAGCAGCAGCAGCAACACUGGAGGGCGCACCGGGUCCUCAUCAAAGCUCUCAGAUGAGUUGAUGGCAGACGACGACAAACAGAAGUGAGUUGAUUAUUUUUUAUUCAUUUAUUUAAAUGUGUGUAUGUAAGACAUUAACGUGUGUGUGUGUGUUCAGGAACUAUGGCGGCGUGUACGUGGGUUUGCCCACAGACCUCAGCAGCAU
rnacentral:lncRNA from 1 species